UGCAGUCGAACGGUAACAGAACUAGCUUGCUAGUUGCUGACGAGUGGCGGACGGGUGAGUAAUACUUAGGGAUCUGCCUCUGUGUGGGGGAUAACUAUUGGAAACGAUAGCUAAUACCGCAUAACGUCUACGGACCAAAGAGGGCUUCGGCUCUCGCGCAGAGAGGAACCUAAGCGAGAUUAGCUUGUUGGUGGGGUAAAGGCUCACCAAGGCGACGAUCUCUAGCUGUUCUGAGAGGAAGAUCAGCCACACUGGAACUGAGACACGGUCCAGACUCCUACGGGAGGCAGCAGUGGGGAAUAUUGCACAAUGGGGGCAACCCUGAUGCAGCCAUGCCGCGUGUGUGAAGAAGGCCUUCGGGUUGUAAAGCACUUUCAGUUGUGAGGAAAGGUUAGUAGUUAAUACCUGCUAGCUGUGACGUUAACAACAGAAGAAGCACCGGCUAACUCCGUGCCAGCAGCCGCGGUAAUACGGAGGGUGCAAGCGUUAAUCGGAAUUACUGGGCGUAAAGCGCACGCAGGCGGUCUGUUAAGCUAGAUGUGAAAGCCCCGCGCUCAACGUGGGAGGGUCAUUUAGAACUGGCAGACUAGAGUCUUGGAGAGGGGAGUGGAAUUCCAGGUGUAGCGGUGAAAUGCGUAGAGAUCUGGA
rnacentral:rRNA from 1 species